CCCCCCCCCCCCCCGCACCUCACAACGGCAUUUCCUGAGGAGCAGCCCGAGCGAGGCCAACAUGCGGAAGGAGCGGAUCAUGGCCUCGCACGCUGGCUCGUCAUCUGCUUUGGCACCUUUCGGAUCCGCGCUGCUGCGUGCGAUGGUUCUAAAUCAGUGCAGGUCGUCGCCGCGGGAUAGUAGGGCCGGCGGAUUCUUCGCAUCGGGGGCUGGCUGGCAAGGGAGGGUCAGGAGGCCGGCAUGACUUGCUAACGAGUAGAGGUUGAUUAUCUUGCCAUCCUCUCCUGCGUCCACUGUCGCGCCGUUCUGCCUUCGGCGAUUAAUUGAGGAUGGAGCAGCAGGCAUAGAUGAAAUCUACUGCCAAUUUCUAUUGGUUGCGGCAUCUUCCGCUGAGUAUGAAGAGUGGUCAUAAUGUUACUUAAAGGAGGCCUCAACUUGCACCAAAUACAUGGGCAUGUGCAACAGCAACUUAUGUAGGUUUCUAAAAUCUAAUAAAUGCUGCUCUCAAAUCAGUUAGGAGGCUGAAGGUAGUAGCUUACUGAACUCUCAUUUCCGGAAAAAUCUGGAGAUGUCUUGGUACGGAGUUUCAUGAUCAACUUGCUCCGGCAUAGUUAGUCUUUCUAGACUAAUUGUUUGUCAGUAUCUAUUCUAUACAUGUGUUUGAUUGGUUGUGCAAACAUGCAUGCAUUGUUCUGUGUGGAAAUUGCUUUAUCCGGUCUGUUCUAUAGCAAUGUUUCCAGUGGCUGUUUAACACAUAUAUUUAGAUAGUUGCAUACGCAUGCUUGGUUCUGCCAGAAAAUUAUCUUCCCUGAUAUGUUUUCAGAUGCUAUUUGGUAUACAUGUUUGUCUUUGUCAUCUUUAUGUUGAGUUGUGGGUUCCAAAGAUAUUUAUGAUGAUCGUUUGCAUGGUGGGUCAUGUCAGCGAUGUGUGUUGCAUAUUCAUGAUUCAAACUCUUUGUUGGGUAUAUAUCUAUAUGAAGUUGUUUUUGAAUGGCCCAUGAUUCGUUUUUUAUUAGUAUUUUAGUUUAAGCAUUUCUCCAGAGAAUCUUGAUAUCCAGCUGUAUAUAUAUCCAGUCAUGUUUUUUUACUCUGACCGAUUUCUUUUUUUGUUUUGUUUUACAGUUUGUACAAUCUCUAAAGAUGGUGCUCCAUUGUUCUGUUAAUCAAGAUUUGUUCCCUCCUUUCUUACUAGCUGAUACAUGAUGACCGUUUGCAUGGGGGGUUAUGUUAACUAUAUUCUAUUCAUGAUUCAAACUGUCUGUUGGGUAAUUUAGUUUAGACAUCGUGUCCUGAGAAUCUUGAUAUCUAGCUGUAUCGGUAUAGUAUAGUUUGUGAUUUUUCCCUCUGAAUUUAUAUAUCCACUCAGGUUGGGAUAGGUUAUGAGUAUUCUUAGUGUGGAAACAGCGGCAGUGCUGCACUUUCAUCAGAUGAUGAUAUGCCAACCUUGCGCCAUUUGGCUCUAUGUUACCCGAAUAAGAUAACAAAAUACACAUGCUCAAGUAUAUAUUUUUAAUACCCCCUGAUGAUGCCUCAUUUCUUCAGAAUUUGAGGCUGUUCUUGAUAUGCCAGGUAGGUCCGGCUAUCGAGUCAACAAUUAUAUUUUGUAGUGUGUGAUGAUACAUUAAUAAUCACACUUGAAUGUGUUACCUAAACCUGUCUUGCUUUUGUAUUUCAUCCUCCUUUGAACCAUCCAAUGACUUGGUCACUACAAAUGAUAAGUGUGAGGUGUACAGAAACCUGCACCUUAUAUUCUUGUCUUGCUUUUGUAUUAUAUCCCCCUUUGAACCAUCCGAUGACUUGUGCACUACAAACGAGAAGUGUGAGGUGUACAGAAACCUGCACUUCAUAUUUCUUACAUUCCUGUUUUAUUUAAUGUCUGAGCCUCUUUAUAUUGCUUACAUAUGUGAUUUAUCUAAUCUCUGAGCAAGUGUGACUGUUUAUAAUUGGGUUAAUAAGCCCAGUUGUUUGAAGAAGCAAUUUGCAUUCCAUAUUUUAGGAUUGUACUAAUUCUUCUAUCCGUUUUUGAUUUGCCCCUGCCAUUGUAGAAUUAUGAGUGGGUUGACUUUUCUUGACGUGUAUUUUAUACAACGAGCAACUACCUUGUGCCGUCUUCCAGCCACCAACAACCCCAUGACCCUGCAUCAGGACAAAUUUGAUUUUGGGAAGACAAAGGUCUGACAAGGAUGAUAAUGGGAUACCAGAUUACAACGACGGAGGCUCGGACAUGGAUCUGCUCAUGCUCUCAGCGGGAAUACUGGAUGUUCUCGAAGCUUUUCCAUACACACGUGCUACUUUUGGCACUUGCGUGGGCUCCAGUUUGUGUCAAUGCAAUUUGCAUCUGUCAGCGGAUUAUGGCGAGCUUGGUUAUUGGCCUACAGGGGUGCGUGGAAGCUUGCUAUCCAUGUGCCAGAGCCAUGAGUUGGUUGCGAGAUCUUAUGGGUUUCACCUCUAGCCUACCCCAACUUGUUUGGGACUAAAGGCUUUGUUGUUGUUUUUUGUUGUUUUUGGUUAUUGGCCUACAGGAAUGUUUGUGUAUGGAUGUCACAAAAUUGUUAUGCAGAAAAUAAGAGUGUAGUACAUUUCAGAGAUACAA